AUACGUAGGGUGCAAGCGUUAAUCGGAAUUACUGGGCGUAAAGCGUGCGCAGGCGGUUUUGUAAGACAGAGGUGAAAUCCCCGGGCUCCACCUGGGAACUGCCUUUGUGACCGCAAGGCUAGAGUACCGCAGAGGGGGAUGGAAUUCCGCGUGUAGCAGGGAAAGGCGUAGAUAUGCGGAGGAACACCGAUGGCGAAGGCAAUCCCCUGGGCCUGUACUGACGCUCAUGCACGAAAGCGUGGGGAGCAAACAGGAUUAGAUACCCUGGUAGUCCACGCCCUAAACGAUGUCAACUGGUUGUUGGGUCUUCAUUGACUCAGUAACGAAGCUAACGCGUGAAGUUGACCGCCUGGGGAGUACGGCCGCAAGGUUGAAACUCAAAUGAAUUGACGGGG
rnacentral:rRNA from 1 species